GAUAACAAAGAGCACAGAAACAAGAUGUUGGGCAGAUAACAAGGGCCAAAACAACGUAAAGCUGCACUAUUUAUAGAGAGCAGUCAGUGUGCAGUGCUGCACUCUCUUACUAGGGCAGUCCAGGCAUUUUAGGAACAUCACAGGGGUUUCCUCCACAUCCCUCUCACAUCAUCAAGCACACAGAGAAGGGCAAGGGAGGCUGAGGUUUCCUCUUCAUGGUAAUGAAAUGCAGCCCACAUAUCCCAACGCUGGCAAGAGAAGAGGAGAACAAGUCAGAAGUUAAGGAAGUAGAGAAGUCAGACCAAGUACAAGAGUCAGAACAGAGGAGCAGGAAAAUAAAGCAGUGGACUGUGUGCCUGAAAAGAGGAGACAGAGCUUGCAGCCUGUGAAAGGAUUAGCAAAAUAAAAGGAGUUUCAGUUUAGAACAAAAACAAAAUCCUAUCAUACAGACUUUAACUUCUUCUUUGAAAUAAACACACUGUAACAAUGUUACUCAAAUAAAACUGAAUAAAACAAUGUACUAGCA